GUACAAUUCUUACGCCUUUAAG
rnacentral:siRNA from 1 species